AUGCAGACAAUCAAAUGUGUGGUUGUAGGAGAUGAGGCUAUAGGUAAAACCUGCCUCCUCAUCAGUUAUACAACAAAUGUCUUUCCUGAGGAGUAUAUCCCCCCACUGUCUUUGACAAUUAUAGCGUCCAGACAUCCGUGGAUGGGCAAAUCGUUAGCCUGAACACGUGGGACACUGCUGGCCAAGAGGAGUAUGAUGACUGCGAACACUCUCCUAACCCCAGACCAGUAUCUUUGUUAUUUGUUUUUCCAUU
rnacentral:lncRNA from 1 species